CUGGCGGCGUGCUUAACACAUGCAAGUCGAACGAGUGGCGAACGGGUGAGUAACACGUGAGCAACCUGCCCUGGACUCUGGGAUAAGCGCUGGAAACGGCGUCUAAUACUGGAUAGUCUGGGAUGGGCUCGCGGCCUAUCAGCUUGUUGGUGAGGUAAUGGUCACCAAGGCGCGACGGGUAGCCGGCCUGAGAGGGUGACCGGCCACACUGGGACUGAGACACGGCCCGGACUCCUACGGGAGGCAGCAGUGGGGAAUAUUGCACAGUGGGCGGAAGCCUGAUGCAGCAACGCCGCGUGAGGGAUGACGGCCUUCGGGUUGUAAACCUCUUUUAGCAGGGAAGCGGUACCUGCAGAAAAAGCGCCGGCUAACUACGUGCCAGCAGCCGCGGUAAUACGUAGGGCGCAAGCGUUAUCCGGAAUUAUUGGGCGUAAAGAGCUCGUAGGCGGUUUGUCGCGUCUGCUGUGAAUCCCGAGGCUCAACCUCGGGCCUGCAGUGGGUACGGGCAGACUAGAGUGCGGUAGGGGAGAUUGGAAUUCCUGGUGUAGCGGUGGAAUGCGCAGAUAUCACGAGGAACACCGAUGG
rnacentral:rRNA from 1 species